rnacentral:rRNA from 1 species
AGCAGCCGCGGUAAUUCCAGCUCCAAUAGCGUAUAUUAAAGUUGUUGCAGUUAAAAAGCUCGUAGUUGAAUUUCGGGGUUAGUAGGUUGGUCGUGCCUUUGGUAUGUACUGGUCUCACUGAUUCCUCCUUCUUGAAGAACUGUAAUGUCAUUAAUUUGGUGUUGCAGGGAAACAGGACUGUUACUUUGAAAAAAUUAGAGUGUUUAAAGACAGGCUAACGCCUGAAUACAUUAGCAUGGAAUAAUGAAAUAGGACGUUUGACCCUAUUUUGUUGGUUUCUAGGAUUGACGUAAUGAUUAAUAGGGAUAGUUGGGGGCAUUAGUAUUCAAUUGUCAGAGGUGAAAUUCUUGGAUUUAUUGAAGACUGACUACUGCGAAAGCAUUUGCCAAGGAUGUUUUCAUUAAUCAAGAACGAAAGUUAGGGGAUCGAAGACGAUCAGAUACCGUCGUAGUCUUAACCAUAAACUAUGCCGACUAGGGAUCGGAUGAUGUUAAUUUUUAAUGACUCAUUUCGGCGCCUU